rnacentral:pre_miRNA from 1 species
AGUGGGAUAACUGGGUCAAAUGGUGGCUCCAUCUAAGUGUUCUGAGGAAUCUUCAUACUGUUUUCCACAGUGAGUGCACCAGUUUUCAGUCCCACCAGCAAU